CAUACAAGUCGAGCGGUGGUGAGGGGAGUGAGCCCGCAAGGCCAAGCGACUCGAACUACAGCGGCGAACGGGUGAGUAACACGUAAGUAACCUACCCCCCAGACCGGGAUAACCCGCCGAAAGGCGGGCUAAUAGGGGAUUCGCCCAUCACUGGGCUUCCACUGGUGGGGAAAGCGCGUCCUUCGGGGCGCGGCUGGGGGAGGGGCUUGCGGCCUAUCAGCUAGUCGGUGGGGUAACGGCCUACCGAGGCGACGACGGGUAGCCGCCCUGAGAGGGUGUUCGGCCACACUGGGACUGAGACACGGCCCAGACUCCUACGGGAGGCAGCAGUUGGGAAUCUUGCGCAAUGGGGGAAACCCUGACGCAGCGACGCCGUGUGGGGGAUGGCGGCCUUCGGGUUGUAAACCCCUGUUGGUGGGGAAGAUACAGACG
rnacentral:rRNA from 1 species